UUAAGUUCAGCGGGUAGUCCUACCUGAUUUGAGGCCAGAUGAUUCAAAAUUGUCUCAUAGUGAAGACGGUUUGAAGCAAGGUCUACAGGGACUUCAAGGCGUAGAUAAUUAUCACACCAAGGAUCCACUAUAUAAACCCCAGCUAAUGCAUUUAAGAAGAGUUGACUUGCGCCAACAACUUCCAAGUCCAAAUACAAAAA
rnacentral:misc_RNA from 1 species